CCUUGAAUUUAACCAAUUAUCAGUUGUUUUGGUUAUGAGGUACAAAUUGCCAAGAAGCUUUUAUUUGCACACCACACUUCUCAGUUCACACCUUUUUUUUUUCGUUCAGAUAUCAUAUUAUUUAUCAAACAAAAAUAAAUUGCUUGGAUAUCAACCAAACAAAAACCCAGUUCGGUUGUUGAUAUCUGAACGAUUAAUUUUUGUUCGGAUGUUGAUAUCCAAACAAUUGAUUUUUGUUUGGUAGUUGAUAUAUGACUACCGAAUUGGUGUGAAUUGAGAAAAAGGGUAUUGUGCAAAUAGAAGCUCCCAAAUUGCCAAUGGCAAGUCAAACUCAAAACUGAUAACACUCUUAGAAUAGCUUCAUACCAUCUGCCAAGAGCAACUAUAACCAAUGCUAUUUAGAGAAUAAUUAUUGCCUUGCGGCUUUACCAAAAACCAGUAGCCAGAGUUUUCCUAUCAGUGGUGGUCCAAGUCCAUGAACGGUCUGCAAAUUUGCUUACCUUGGGUUAGCAAAUCAAAAUAGAGAGAGAACAUCAUGAUUUUGAUAUAUGUAUAUGUAUAUAUUUUUUUGGUCUUUGUAAAGCGAUGCAGAUUACUGGCCCUUACCAGAUGGCGAUGUUAGCAUUACAGACAUGUGGACAGAGCAUAUCCUAUACUCUUGAGCUUGUGUGCCUAUGAUAUGCUGAAGUAUCACAUGAAGUAAAGCUGAAGGCUGGUCUGUUUGAUGUGGGCUUGGAGGACAUUAAGAGGGCCAGGCUACAAAAAUGCAGCAGUUCUUUGAGUGGUCCUCGAAAAGGAAAGUUGGUGUUUUUAAUUUAUGUUAAUUUUGUACCCAGCUUACCUCUAUGCAUAUCUAAUUUUGGAUGUUGUAUUGAGUGGAUGAUUAUUACAUCUAGUCUAUUUUUGAAGCCUAUCUCGGUGGGCUGUGUCUAGAGGUAUUUUUCUGCUCCUUUUGUUGUAUGCUGUAGCUAUAUGCUUUGCUGCCAGCUGCUGCUCUAUCUAUUCCUUACUGUUGUGGCCUUAUGCUAUUUGCUAUGCUACAUGGCUGCAUAUUACUGCAUGGUUUUUCAAGUUAUACUAUAAAAUGUACUAAAUUAUUGCUUAGCAUAACAGUUAAAAGCAUGAUCUGUGGUUUUUAUAUUUUGUCUCAUUAUCUGUGAUGUUCGUUCAUGUGAUUUUGAUAUUAUCUAUCAUUUUUCUACAGUCUCAUUUAAAGAUAUUCCUGUCACCUAGUUUUACUUGCCAUAAAUUUUGGAAUUAAACAAAAUUCUUAGUCUCAUCAUUUGCAGAAUUCUGGUAGAGAAAUAGUUCCUUGAGUUGUUUUCAUUUUGUUGCUAUAUCAUUUGCUUAGCUGAAUGAGUUCAAACCUUCAUGUUACAACUUUUCAAUUGAAAAUAAAAGCAAAACUUUGAAAGUUUAUAGCUUUAUGAUUGCAGUUAAAUCAUUGCUAGCAUGAUGGGUCUCGGAGACAUUAGAAUUAUAAAACAUUCCAACUUUAAUUGUAUGUUUGACACAUCUUCAUUGAUUCAACUCUCUCUGUAAUUCCGGUGCUUUUCCGAUGAGUUUACAAUGAUCUCUGGCUCUGAUUUCGAGUAUUUUUUGUUCUUUCUUUUCUUGUUGGUGCAGUGGAUCCUGAAACAGCGCUUUACACGGAGCCAUGGCACGCUUGUGCUGGUCCGCUCGUGACAGUGCCUCGUGAAGGCGAGCGCAUGUUCUAUUUUCCUCAAGGACAUAUUGAGCAGGCGAUGAAUUUGAUUUUCAACCCUGGAAUUUGAAAUUCGUUGAUUUCGAAGAGUUAAAAAACUUCGACUUGAACCAGCAUUUGGCAGGACAUGAUCCGCGUGAGACUUCGAGUGGUCCAGAUUCAUAUCCAAACAGGUCCACAGGACACAGGAACAGUCGCCUUAGC